rnacentral:rRNA from 1 species
AUUGAACGCUGGCGGCAGGCCUAACACAUGCAAGUCGAGCGGAGCGGCGGACGGGUGAGUAAUGUCUAGGAAUACGCCCGCUAGCGGGGGAUAACGCUCGGAAACGGGCGCUAAUAUCGCACACUAUCAGAUGAGCCUAGGUCGGAUUAGCUAGUUGGUGGGGUAAAGGCCUACCAAGGAGACGAUCCGUAACUGGUCUGAGAGGAUGAUCAGUCACACUGGAACUGAGACACGGUCCUGACUCCUACGGGAGGCAGCAGUGGGGAAUAUUGGACAAUGGGCGAAAGCCUGAUCCAGCCAUGCCGCGUGUGUGAAGAAGGUCUUCGGAUUGUAAAGCACUUUAAGUUGGGAGGCGUUACCAGCAGAAUAAGCACCGGCUAACUUCGUGCCAGCAGCCACGGUAAUAC